UACGUAGGGUGCAAGCGUUGUCCGGAAUUAUUGGGCGUAAAGAGCUCGUAGGCGGUUUGUUGCGUCGGCUGUGAAAUCCCGAGGCUCAACCUCGGGUCUGCAGUCGAUACGAGCAAACUAGAGUGUUGCAGGGGAGACUGGAAUCCCUGGUGUAGCGGUGAAAUGCUUAGAUAUCGUCAAGAACACCAAUAGUGAAGACAGCUUACUGGGCUUAAACUGACGCUGAGGCACGAAAGUGUGGGGAUCAAACAGG
rnacentral:rRNA from 1 species